UACGUAGGGUGCAAGCGUUAAUCGGAAUUACUGGGCGUAAAGCGUGCGCAGGCGGCUUUGCAAGACAGAUGUGAAAUCCCCGGGCUCAACCUGGGAACUGCAUUUGUGACUGCAUGGCUAGAGUGUGUCAGAGGGGGGUAGAAUUCCACGUGUAGCAGUGAAAUGCGUAGAGAUGUGGAGGAAUACCGAUGGCGAAGGCAGCCCCCUGGGAUAACACUGACGCUCAUGCACGAAAGCGUGGGGAGCAAACAGG
rnacentral:rRNA from 1 species